GCCCGGGUAGCUCAAUCGGUAGAGCGUGUGGCUCUUACUUGUCAAAGAACUACCUCAAGGUCGCGGGUUCGAGCCCCGCCUCGGGCU
rnacentral:tRNA from 1 species